AUACGGAGGGUGCGAGCGUUAAUCGGAAUUACUGGGCGUAAAGGGUGCGUAGGUUGUUAUUUAAGUUAUGUGUGAAAUACCUGGGCUUAACCUGGGGGCGAGAUGUAAAACUGGAUAACUAGAGUAUGGUAGAGGACAUUAGAAUUUCCGGUGUAGCGGUGAAAUGCGUAGAUAUCGGAAGGAAUACCGGUGGCGAAGGCGGAUGUCUGGACUAAUACUGACACUGAGGCACGAAAGCGUGGGUAGCGAACAGGAUUAGAUACCCCAGUAGUCC
rnacentral:rRNA from 1 species